AUUGAACGCUGGCGGCAUGCUUUACACAUGCAAGUCGAGCGGCAGCGCGGGGCAACCUGGCGGCGAGCGGCGAACGGGUGAGGAAUACAUCGGAACGUACCCGAGAGUGGGGGGAUAACGCCGCGAAAGCGGCGCUAAUACCGCAUAUUCUCUGAGGAGGAAAGUGGGGGACCGCAAGGCCUCACGCUCACGGAGCGGCCGAUGUCGGAUUAGCUAGUUGGUGGGGUAAAGGCUUACCAAGGCGACGAUCCGUAGCUGGUCUGAGAGGAUGAUCAGCCACACUGGGACUGAGACACGGCCCAGACUCCUACGGGAGGCAGCAGUGGGGAAUAUUGGACAAUGGGCGCAAGCCUGAUCCAGCAAUGCCGCGUGUGUGAAGAAGGCCUGCGGGUUGUAAAGCACUUUCAGUGGGGAAGAACAGGUUCGGGUCAAUACCCCGGAGCCCUGACGUUACCCACAGAAGAAGCACCGGCUCACUCCGUGCCAGCAGCCGCGGUAAUC
rnacentral:rRNA from 1 species